ACCUCCGUGGCGCACCGGCUAGCGCGUUCGGCUGUUAACCGAAAGGUUGUGGUUCGAGUCACCGGGGCGAA